rnacentral:rRNA from 1 species
AAAAAAAAAUAUUCUCAUCAGAGCACAAAGGCACUUCCUCCUCGCCUUGCGCGAAUGGGCCUCCGCUUCGCCCACCUCGCCGGCGGGGUCGCCCGAGCCGCGAUCUCUCGCCGUGGGCCACACCUCUCCCCAGCGUGCGCCCGCCGCGUGCUCGCCCCUCUCGCCUCGCCGGGUGAGCCAAGCGGCGGCAACUGGCUCGUCCCUUCCCGCGGCCACGGUGGCCACUCCAACCACCACGGCGAGGAAAGCGUCGAGGCAUCUGAGAAGAUCUUCCGCUUGGGCCUCGCUGCUGACGUCGUCCUCACCGUAGGGAAAGCCAUCACCGGUUACCUCUCCGGCAGCACGGCCAUCACCGCCGACGCCGCUCACUCCCUCUCUGACAUCGUACGUCUCGGAAACAAGUGCGCAGCCAUUUUCUUAAUUGAUGCUAAUCGUGCAGGAUUUUGAGCUGUGCAGGUGCUGAGCGGUGUGGCUCUGCUGUCGUACAAGGCGGCCAAGGUUCCUAGAGACAAGGAUCAUCCGUAUGGUCAUGGAAAGUUCGAGAGUUUAGGAGCUCUUGGAAUUUCAAGUAUGCUGUUGAUUACUGCAGGUGGGAUUGCCUGGCAUUCUUUUGAAGUUCUUCAGGGAGUUAUGUCUUCUGCUCCUGAUAUAAUUGGCAGCACAUCGCACAUGAAUCACAACCAUGGUAGUGGUGGGCAUAAUCAUGCAAUAGAUUUGGAACAUCCAGUCCUUGCAUUGAGUAUGACAACCUUAGCAAUAUCUAUCAAAGAAGGGCUCUAUUGGAUUACGAAAAGAGCUGGGGAGAAGGAAGGGAGUGGGCUGAUGAAAGCUAACGCAUGGCACCAUCGUGCGGAUGCUAUUUCAUCUGUUGUUGCCCUAGUAGGGGUAGGUGGCUCCAUUGUUGGAUUACCUUAUCUUGAUCCACUAGCUGGCCUUGUUGUCUCAGGCAUGAUUCUUAAAGCUGGUGUUCAGACAGGAUACGAGAGUACACUAGAGCUUGUUGAUGCAGCUGUUGAUCCAUCGCUUCUAGAACCAAUCAAGGAAACAAUUGUGAAGGCUGAUGGUGUAAAGGGGUGCCAUCGGUUGAGGGGAAGGAAAGCUGGGACCUCCUUGUAUCUUGAUGUGCAUAUCGAGGUAUAUCCUUUCUUGAGUGUCAGUGCAGCACAUGAUAUCGGGGAAACUGUCCGUCAUCAUAUACAGAAGACGCAUAGUCAAGUUGCCGAAGUUUUCAUACACAUAGACCCCUCAUAUUCAAUGGGUGCUAACGUGGACAAGAAAAGGAUUUUGGAGAACUUGGAGAGAAGAAAUUCAGACGUUAUUCCACGUCAACGAAGUGCAGAAGCUAUUGUGUCCGAUAUAAUUUCCUCCCAUUUUCCAAAGAAAAUGUGUCUUGAACAUCUGAUGCUGCAUUACUUACAAGGACGGGUGUUGCUUCAGGUCCAAGUUUCAAUGUCUCCAGAAAUUUUGAUUCGGGAUGCGAUGGACAUCGCAAAAAAAGCCGAGGAGGAGAUCAUGAAGGCUGACGCCAGCAUAUGUCAAGUCAGCGUACAGCUGAGAUUGGGGCAACAAAUUGAGCAACUUCAGCUGGCCGCAAGCAAAAGCGGAGCAAACGAUCGACAUGCAGAAAAGCAGUAGAACGGGGCGCAUAUCCUGCGCAGUGCAGCCAUGCUGGCUCAGUCAGCUGGGAUGGUAAUUUUGCUAAUCUUUCUGACAUGCAUCAAUUGCAGUUGCUGCUGUUGCUGCUGAGGCAGUGGACUAGGACAGCCCCUGUACAUUGUGUCUUGUUCUGAGAUAUCAGAAGAAAUGGAAUAAUGUCGAAACAGGCUCUCACUCCGCUUUAUAACCAACUAGCACACAUGCCCGUGUGUUGCAACGGGGAAAUAAAUAAAUGUGUCCAUCAAAACGCCCAUCGGUGGCAUGACAACAUUCUGGGAGGCAGGUAGGAGCAUGCUGAGG